rnacentral:rRNA from 1 species
GAUGAACGCUGGCGGCGUGCCUAAUACAUGCAAGUCGAGCGAACGGACGAGAAGCUUGCUUCUCUGAUGUUAGCGGCGGACGGGUGAGUAACACGUGGAUAACCUACCUAUAAGACUGGGAUAACUUCGGGAAACCGGAGCUAAUACCGGAUAAUAUUUUGAACCGCAUGGUUCAAAAGUGAAAGACGGUCUUGCUGUCACUUAUAGAUGGAUCCGCGCUGCAUUAGCUAGUUGGUAAGGUAACGGCUUACCAAGGCAACGAUGCAUAGCCGACCUGAGAGGUUGAUCGGCCACACUAGAACUGAGACACGGUCCAGACUCCUACGGGAGGCAGCAGUAGGGAAUCUUCCGCAAUGGGCGAAAGCCUGACGGAGCAACGCCGCGUGAGUGAUGAAGGUCUUCGGAUCGUAAAACUCUGUUAUUAGGGAAGAACAUAUGUGUAAGUAACUGUGUACAUCUUGACGGUACCUAAUCAGAAAGCCACGGCUAACUACGUG